GCUCAGUGUCCUGGAUUUGAGUGGUAGUAGAGUCACCGCUUCCCUCCAGGAUCUGUCCUCUUCGGGGGUUUGCUGGGGAAAGUACAUCCUGUGGCAGUGUCCCAGACCCCAUGGAGUAGCUACUCAGCACCAAAGCAGUGUCUUCAGCUGGUGGUGCUACCCAUAACAGGAGGUAGAGAAGGAAGAUCUUUUACUCACCUUUACAAAGCCCCCAAAACUCUUCUGGUCCAUGCAUUUUCAGUUUCAUAAAUGUAGGAGGAAGACUGCAGUAUCAUGUCACUUAAUGUUGAAAAAGGAGGAAAGGAAAAAAGAAAAGGGAAGAAAGGCAGAAAAACUUACAUGAGGAAGAGACAUGGAAGACAAAGGAUGACGAGGGGGAAGGUAAUCAAGAGGACUAAAGCAUGGGAAAGAAUUGGAGAGAUCAGAGCAAGGGGUGACUAUCACAGCAGGCGGGAAACAGAAGAAUUGGUUACAGACAGAUUUUAUAUUCUCUCCUUAUUUCUUGUUAAGAGGAGUUAGUCAGGAAUAAGUUCCACAAACACCUCUGAAGGGGCUGGAAAAAAAACCCAAAACUACACUGAGAUGGGUGUAUGUCUGUCUUUAAUAAUAGAUAUGAUUGCAGCAGGUGUAAAUAAUUUGAAACAGUACCAGGUAACUUGAGUAUCAAUAGCAGUAAAAAUGCAGCAGCACAGGACUGCCAAGUCUGUGUCCUGUUGGUAUCCAAGGUAAUGGAUGGUUUUGAAUAGGUUAUUAGGGAACUCACUCAGCUUGUGUACUUUAAUAUUAUAUGGUAAUCAGCUAGAAAAGCAGUCUUGUAACAGGGAUUGAAAUUCAGAUUUCCCUCUCCCAGCUAGAUACCUCAGUUGUUGCACUGCAAAGUGAUGCCUUGCUUCCCUGGCCCAAUGAAUGUGUAUUAGUUUGUUUAGAAUAACAGCCUUUCAGCAGGCACAAUGAAAGGCAUUCCUCCCAGCUAGCCUCUGGCCUGGUGACAUCCUGGGAAGUGCUGGCUAGGGAUUCAGUGUUGUCCUCAGGACUCUCCAGGUCUAAGCUCUACCUGUUUAGCUGCUGAGGGGACCUCUCCAUCCUCCAGCCAUGCUUUUGAAAGAUGCCAAAGUCUAAAUGCAGACCCUGCUCCAGCAUAACCCAAGAAUUAAAUGCUUUAGAUGCCAAGAAGGUUAGGGUUAUGGUGUCAGUAAUUGGCAACUCGGGUGCUUCUCAUGCUGGCUAUUAGAGAUUCUGGUCCAAGGUGUGGAUGCUUCUGACAUGGUGGGGAGUGGGGGUACCUGGCCCAGAGCUGGGGGCUCCUGGCUAGGAAACUGGCACCAGAACUUGGGGGUUGCAGCUCUUAAUGUUGUGACAGCUUGGCCUGUGGUAGAUUUAUAGGUACAUCUUGUCUUGGCUGUGUCUGGGAAAACACCAUGUUGUGGAUUUGUUCAUGCUACACAGCAAUGUGUUCACAGGUAAUCCUUGGCAUCACGAGGCUGACUUCUGUCAGGUAUAAUUCCAGCAGUCCAGAGGUUAAUGUACUCUGUCUGUUGUGAUUUUUUAUUUUUUUUUAAGGUGGGGAGAGGGCCAGUGGAGACAUGUAAUGAACAUCGAUAACUGCAUUUAAUUUCCUUGGCAAGUGGAAAAUACCCUUGCUUCUAAAAGUUGUCCUUAAGAUCUUUUCUGUUCAAGCAACCAUCUGUGGGAAAGAAAUGAAGGUGAAGAUAAAAUUCAAGGAAGACACUUGCACAGACCUAUUUGAAAGUGUUUAUUGCCAGGAAACAAGUGCUUCUGAGCCUUUACAGGCUAUGCCUCUGCAACAGCUCUAAAAUAUGCUUGCCUUCAGCUAUAUAAACACUGGUUAACAGAGAGGAAGAAUUAUUUGCACUAAGACUUAUUUAAGGGACACUAGUAGAAGGAAAAGGUUACACAACCAGUUUCUUUUCCUACUUUUCAGUGGUUUCAUUACUAACUCACUACAGACAAUGUUUUGAAGAAAUAAAAUUUUGUUGAAGUAAAACCAAUUCCAUUCUUAUCUGUAGCAGGUCAGCUAUGUGAGGCUUGGAUGUGAGAUUAAGUUAGCAGAGUUUAAUAAGUAUCAUUUGCACAGUGGUAAAUGUGGACAUGGGGAUGAAUAGGCUCUUAGUCAGCAGCCAAUACAUAUGGUGUUGUGACUUGUUGCGACAGGAGAGAAGUCUAAGCUAACUUGCAUGCAGUUUGCCGAUUUUGCCUAUAGCAAAUGCAAAGUAAUACACACUGACAAUUUCUGCAGACCAGCUGAUGCAUAGUGAGUUGUUAAUAGGUGCUGACUUGAUGCUGCUUCUGAGCUCACAAGAUAGUGUAAUGUAGCGUACCACACUGCUCUUUGCUUAGGCUCUGUUUCAUCAGUAAUUUUUUUUCUGGUCUUUCAGUAAGCUUUUAUGGGUUUCAGAUCUCUGUGUAUGCAAAAUAUGUAUUCAUUAGACACGCAGCACCUUACUAUUGCAAGUUAUGCCAAUGUUCAUACUAGCUGGAACAGUCCUGUUUAGAAGGAGGAAUGGUGUAUGUAAGUGGACAGAAACAACAAAGAAAUGAGAGUAAUUGUGAUAAAGGUAGUGGUUACUAAACACAAACUUGUACUAACAUAAUAGGAAAAGCUUGAAACUUGUUCUGUGUGGCAACAAGAUGUCCCCAUCUGAGCGUUGCUGAGACAGGGUAGAACAAAACAAUGCUGUGAGGAAGAUCUGUUGCAGCAGCCUAUGGCAGAAUUUAGCACUGACUACUCAAAAGGGAACUGCUAAAGGUGAAAAGCCAUGUAAGUGGAGAAUGAAAACCUUUCCUUUUCUUUUUCCUCCUCCUCUCCAACCAAUAUGGACAGAUGAAUUCUAACAUUAAUGAAGGGACAGCAUGUGCUUUUGAUUUGGUGAUUGAAAAUGAAUGCUGUUCUGUAUGCGUGAAAGGUUACUGAAUGGACAAUGAGAGACUGGGGGAAAACAAUUAGAGAAAACACAAAACAAGCCUUUUCUGCAUGUCAUUUUAAAUAAAUUGUAUGCAUCCAAUGGGAGCAAGAAAAUGAAUGUAAAUUUAGGAUUUUUUUCCCUCCUGGGUGGUAACACAAGCCAAAGGGAAGAAGAUGAGAAAACCCAUAUGGAAUUUAGAGUGAAAACAAUCCAAUAGGAAAAAAAAUUAAAAUUCUUAUUUGUACUUGAUGUGGUUUAGUCCAUGUUUUCCACUGCAACAUAGAUCACUUAAAGGUCUUACAUGAACUCAUGUCUAAAACGAUCCUUAUUUUCCUUAGAACAGGUCUGAUGUAUUAUUUCUGCUUCCACGAUACUUGUUCUAACUGACCAAAUAAACUUUGCUAGGGAAUAAACCCCACAACUUAAAUGCAACAGCCUGCAAGACUGUUGUUCUUGGCAUAGUUUUAAUGACUGGACAGGCCUUACAUAAGAAAACUUAGUCCUGUCUAGGGUUCAAGCCAUGUGACUGUACAAAUUGGACAAGAUUACUGUUGAAUCAGGUGCAUCUGAAAUAAGAACAACAUUAUUUUGUUGGAAAACUGCAGGUGAAUGAGAAAGGUCACACAUGUAUUAUGUGUUUACAGCACUCUUCACCUGGGAUGCACUAGGAUUUAUCUGUGAAAUUGUGUGUUGCUGAUAUUUCAUACUGUAAAGCCAUUGUAAACAAAUUAGUUAUUAAUAAAACAAAUUUUGAAUUAAUAUUUUAGAUGUGUUAUUUUGGCUAUUGUGCAGUCUAAGGAUUAAUUGGAAGUAUAAUGGAUUGUAACAAAAAAGAAAAAGCCAAACACACAAAGUUACAAAAUCAUUAACACUAACAUUCUCUGGGUAAUCUAUUUUGUUCUUUGUUUUCACUUCAGUUCCUUUUUCUGAUAGGUCAGUAGUCCUGUAUAGGAAGAAAAGGUAAAUUGAAGUAGGAAUGAACAUAUUAGUUUCUUCAGUGCUAGCUACUUGCUUUUUCUUAGCUGAACUUAAGGCUAGCAUGUAGAUAAGCCACUAAGAUGCAGUGUCAGAAUCUUUUGAAGGCAGAAGUCAGCUUAUUUGCACACAGGAUUCUAAAAACAUGUAUGUUUUCUAUUGUGAUGACCUUCUGAGUCAGAGCUGGAAUGUGCAGCGGAAGAGUAGUCAUCUCUGCUGUCCCACAUGGCGCCCUCUUAACCACAAGCUCUUGCUCAGCCUCCUGUUAGUGGGCAUUUGUCCAUUUUUAUAAUUUUCCACAGUCUGAAUGCAAACUGUAGUAACAAAUAGCAUUUUCUAAGCUCCUAUGUAUUACUAGAAUUCUUCAAGGAAUCCCUGUGUGCCUGAUUUUUUUCCCCUACUUUGUAUAUAUCACAGAACACUGACUGAAAUACCCUACUAUGCACAUUGAUUUGUCCUUCUGGAUUUCAUUUGCCAUUUACAAUGAGCAGCUUGCAGUGUGUUUAAAAUGGCUACAACAGGCAGUGCUCUUACUAAGAGUUACUGAUUCUGUCUCUCUCUGUGAAUACUGAUAUAAUGGAUGGUGAUGCCAACUAGAGCUGAUUACUUCCUGCUCUUCAGCACUGCUAUCUCUAUGGAAGUUGAAGCUGCAGACUUUC